rnacentral:rRNA from 1 species
CCCUACUGCUAUCGGGGUGGGACUAAGACAUGCGAGUCGAGCGUCUCCAGCUAUGGUGAGACGCGGCAGACGGCUCAGUAACACGUGGCUAACCUACCCUCAGGACGGGGACAAACCCGGGAAACUGGGGCUAAUACCCGAUAGGCGAGGGCGCCUGGAAUGGUUCUUCACCCAAAGGGCUUUGGAAGCAUGCUUUUCAAAGUCGCCUGGGGAUGGGGCCGCGUCCGAUCAGGUUGUUGGUGAGGUAACGGCUCUCCAAACCUUUGACCGGUACGGGCCAUGAGAGUGGUAGCCCGGAGAUGGGCACUGAGACAAGGGCCCAGGCCCUACGGGGCGCAGCAGGCGCGAAACCUCCACAAUUCACGAAAGUGAGAUGGGGUUACCUCGAGUGCCGCCUGAAGAAGGCGGCUUUUCCAUUGUGUAAUGAGCCGUGGGAAUAAGAGGGGGGCAAGACUGGUGUCAGCCGCCGCGGUAACACCAGCCCCUCGAGUGGUGGGGAUGAUUAUUUGGCCUAAAGCGUCCGUAGCCUGCUCUGUAAAUCCCUCGUUAAAUCCAGCGUCCUAAGCGUUGGGCUGCGAGAGAGACUGCAGAGCUAGAGGGUGGGAGAGGUCAGCGGUAUUCCUGGGGUAGGGGCGAAAUCCAUUGAUCCCAGGAGGACCACCAGUGGCGAAGGCUGCUGACUAGAACACGCCUGACGGUGAGGGACGAAAGCCAGGGGAGCAAAGGGGAUUAGAUACCCCCGUAGUCCUGGCUGUAAACGAUGCCCACUAGACAUUGGCAAUCUCACGGGGGUUGUCAGUGCCGUAGCGAAAGCGUUAAGUGGGCCGCCUGGGGAGUACGGUCGCAAGGCUGAAACUUAA